rnacentral:rRNA from 1 species
UACAGAGACUGCAAGCGUUAUUCGGAUUCACUGGGCGUAAAGGGUGCGCAGGCGGCCAAGUGUGUUAGGCGUGAAAGCCCGGGGCUUAACCCCGGAAUUGCACCUAAAACUACAUGGCUAGAGCAUUGGAGAGGGUAGCAGAAUUCAUGGUGUAGCAGUGAAAUGCGUAGAUAUCAUGAGGAAUACCAGAGGCGAAGGCGGCUACCUGGACAAUUGCUGACGCUCAGGCACGAAAGCCGUGGGGGGAGCAAAAAAGGG